GCCCCCGUAGCUCAGCAGGAUAGAGCGCCGGAUUCCUAAUCCGUAGGCCGCAGGUUCGAGUCCUGCCGGGGGUACCA
rnacentral:tRNA from 1 species